AGUGAACGCUGGCGGUAGGCCUAACACAUGCAAGUCGAACGGCAGCACAGUAAGAGCUUGCUCUUACGGGUGGCGAGUGGCGGACGGGUGAGGAAUACAUCGGAAUCUACUUUUUCGUGGAGGAUAACGUAGGGAAACUUACGCUAAUACCGCAUACGACCUACGGGUGAAAGCAGGGGAUCUUCGGACCUUGCGCGAUUGAAUGAGCCGAUGUCGGAUUAGCUAGUUGGCGGGGUAAAGGCCCACCAAGGCGACGAUCCGUAGCUGGUCUGAGAGGAUGAUCAGCCACACUGGAACUGAGACACGGUCCAGACUCCUACGGGAGGCAGCAGUGGGGAAUAUUGGACAAUGGGCGCAAGCCUGAUCCAGCCAUACCGCGUGGGUGAAGAAGGCCUUGGGGUUGUAAAGCCCUUUUGUUGGGAAAGAAAAGCAGCAGGUUAAUACCCCGCUGUUCUGACGGUACCCAAAGAAUAAGCACCGGCUAACUUCGUG
rnacentral:rRNA from 1 species